rnacentral:lncRNA from 1 species
AUGCAAAUGAGACCGGCCAGGCCAUCUGGACGCUCACCUUUACCGAAUAACAGAAAACAGAGCCUCAAGAAUAAUUCACUACUGGGAGAGAAAUACCGCAAUCCUGCUCGAAAAAUCGCUAACCCCUCCCUCUCUGGAACAGGAAAGAGGAGGGACAGGAACUACAGUCGAAGAGCCAGGACCUGUGCUGGCCUUACCUGGGGUGUUUCCCAGAUUCUAGAACCACAUGAAGCUGUCAGAGGGACAUGUCAAUAUUUCUUGGUGGGGACAAGGAAUGGAGAUCAUACGUUGUGUCCCAUCUUACAGUGGUGCCUUCCGUUGCCCAAAGCCCCUGGGAAACCUGAGGACAAGAGAGCUGAGUGAUGCAAGCUUAGAAUCAGCCUCACAGCAACAGAAUAGGGCAGAGAAGACCAGAAAACUGAUUCAGGGCUGUGUUAUCCAAUAAAGCAGCCACUGGACAAACA